UUCCUGGCGUCCGGCGAGGCGCGGUGGCGGCGACUCCGGCGAGGCUUGGCCUCCGCGAGGUGCUCGAUCCCUUCUUCCUGGCGUCCGGCGAGGUGCUGGUUUGCCAGGAGCUGAGCCGCAAUACUGAGCAGAGCAGAGAGAUCUUACAGGAAGGCAAGAUGAGUAACCGAAACAAGACAUUCAAUUCAUUUUUUCAAGUUCAUUAAGCGAUUUUAAGGUUAUCGCAAUCGCAGAUGCCUUUUGCCUUGUCCUAGACGUAAGUUCUCAAAUUUUGCAUCUAUCAUUAACUCCUUUUACCUGCUAUAUUAUGCACUGAUUUGCAUUUCAAAAAUUAUAUUCAAGGUUUAGCAUCUUCUGCUAUUGAAGAUAUAGGCAUGGGAGGCUCAGAUCAACCAAUCCAUUGAUUUUGUAUCAAUCUUUUGUAUCAUUUAUAUACGCUACAUAUUUCUUUUGAUUUUUCUUGCUUUAUUAGUUAACCCAUCAUGGAAUAAUAUUGCCGUUGAAUAUUA